GCAGCCGCCGCGGUAAUACGGAGGAUCCAAGCGUUAUCCGGAAUCAUUGGGUUUAAAGGGUCCGUAGGCGGUCUUGUAAGUCAGUGGUGAAAGCCCAUCGCUCAACGGUGGAACGGCCAUUGAUACUGCAGGACUUGAAUUAUUGGGAAGUAACUAGAAUAUGUAGUGUAGCGGUGAAAUGCUUAGAGAUUACAUGGAAUACCAAUUGCGAAGGCAGGUUACUACCAAUUGAUUGACGCUGAUGGACGAAAGCGUGGGUAGCGAACAGGAUUAGAUACCCGUGUAGUCCCUGUCUCUUAUAC
rnacentral:rRNA from 1 species